rnacentral:rRNA from 1 species
AAAUUGAAGAGUUUGAUCAUGGCUCAGAUUGAACGCUGGCGGCAGGCCUAACACAUGCAAGUCGAACGGUAACAGGAAGAAGCUUGCUUCUUUGCUG